ACUUAACCUCUCUGGUAGCGCUCUCUGGGAACUCCUUACCUGGGCCCUGCUUAAAUAGUGGUUAGAGCAGGGCGUGGUGACACCAGCCUUUAAUCCCAUCACACAAUCUCUGUGAUUGUGUGAUGGGAUUAAAGGCUGGAUAGUCGAGGUUACACAGAGAGACCUUGUCUCAAAAUAAAUAAAUAAAUAAAUAAAUAGAUAAGAUUUAAGAGAUCAGCUCAAGACUGGAGGGGUGUUGUACCUGCUGGACAGGAGAGACAUAAAGGGAGGAAGGCAGAGAUUGUGGAAAAGGCAGGCCGAGGCACACGAAGGAUAAUGGGAAGGGGGGGUGUCACAUAAACGGUGCCCUUCCUUCCUUCCUUCCUUCCGUCCUUCCCUCCUUCCCUCCCUUCUUCUUUUCUCCAAGAGAGGAUGGAAAAGCCACUGGGUUGGGGAGGGAACUCUCCACAGGACUAGGACAUUAGUGUCCCCUCCCUUCUGAGACUUCGUGUGACGUUGCUGGUAGUUUCUUUCUCACUAAAGAAAAACUGAGGCUAAGAACUUGUGUGGUGACGCUAAAAAGCCACUAGCCCUGAGCUGGGACAAGCAGACCCGGUGGGAUGCGUGGAAGGACUCAGACUGUCGGCCACCAGGUGGCAGCAUCGCCCAGCGCCGAGGUGCGCACAAGGACUCCGGACUUGAACUGAGAGGCCCUGGGGCCCCUCGCAAGGAAGCCUGCAGACAGGUAAAUUCGACUCUGCCCACAUUCAUAAUAUCAGAGGAAUAGACACUGGAGAACAGCUGUCCACCCUUUGCCCUACAUCUUCUGAAAGGAGAAAGUGUGAUCCCUAGACUUGACUCAUCAGGCAAGUCCAAAGGUUGAAGUUGCCUCUGGCCUCUUGGGUCCCCCCCCCCCCCCAUGAUACCAGAUUGCCUCUCCAUGGCCAUUUCUGCAGAUAGGGAGGGGAUGAGCCGGGAAGUUGGAGAUGCCUGAGUAAGACAAGAGCCCAAGGCCCUUGCCAACUUCCAUUAAGAGGGAGGCUCAGUAUUCAUGUAUGUCAAUUAGGGAUGGAGCUUGGUGGAAGAGAUGUUCUUUCUCGGUGUAGCCCUGGCUGUUCCAGAACUCACUCUGUCUCUUUCUCCUGAGGGCUAGGAUUAAAGGUGUGUGCCAUCACUGACUGGCAGGAGAGCUGUUCUUGUUCAGAGAGACAGGGGUCCCAUUCAAAGGCUGCACCCGCCACCCCCCACCCAGGGGGCCAACUGAGAAGGGUGGCAUGUGCAUGCAUACAUGCUGUCCUCUAGCAUGCAGGGAACCAGGGGUAGGAGGACCCAGGAGGAAGACCUUCUGGCGUCUCUGCGGCUCUCUGGAUUCCACACCAGAUUCCAGCUGGGGUUUCCCAACAGCGCUGACGUCCCCAGUCCUUCACAUUCUCUCUUCUCCAGGCCAUUUGCUGAAGAACGAGUUGAUUGUCUACGGGUCCUCCUAGGGCCUGGCUGGAGGGGCCUGGAGGUCAGCUGGCCACCCACGCUUUCUCAGAGAAGGCAGCUGGAACCCAGGGGCCAGGAAGGCCAACUCACAGAGGACAUGAGAGCUGAGUCACAAUCAGGACCGUAAGGGUUCUGAGACCCCCACACGGCUCAUGUGGCUACAUCUCAGCCAGGGGAGCCGCAGCUCUCUUGGAGGAACCCUCAGCCGGGGGUUGGGAGAGAGAGGCUUUACCAAUACUGACCUAGCUGACCCCGGUGGGGGGGGGAGGGCUAGGCUGUGUUCUAUUUCAUCCCUUGAUAGUUCAUCCUACUAUCCAUUGCUUCUCUGCAUUCAACUAAAACUAUGAUACCUAAUAGCACCCCCGCUAUGGCCUCUUCCGAGGAGGCUGAGUACUCAGCUCCGCUCCAGUGGUGUUCCGCCUACAGGGGCAGUAUUGAGUCAUUUUUAGCAGAUCUGCCAUUUAUGGUCUGCUGUGUGACAGGAGGGCAUGCUCGUAGUCCCUAGCUUUAAAUUUGUUUGCAAAAGGAGGACCAGUGAGUCGGAGGACAGCAUGGCACACAGACUGUAGGGGGAUGACGUAAACUUCUCAUCGAUACUGAGGAUCCUGCACAAACCUGAACACAGACUUCUUCCUCUCCAGCUGGGCAGGCAUAGUCGCCAUCCCCAACCCCAAUUGCCCGGCAUCAGGCAUACAGCCAUAGCAAAUAGACUUGAGCUGGUUUUGUUUGGGGGCAGAAUGGAGUGCCCAGGCAUUAAGGGUCUUGCUUUUUUUUUUUUUUUCUUCAAAACAACUGUCCCUCUGUCCCUCUAUGUGACCUGCAGGAGACCAGCACUGUUGCCCCCGAAUGUCUGGCUCAGCAGCCCCCUCCACUGUCCAGUAUGUGUUCUGCACUCCUUCCCUGCGGUCAAAUUAGAAGGGGAUUUCUCUCUACGGAGUCCUGGCUGUCCUGGAACUCCCUACACAGACCAGGGCCUCUUCCUUCUUUCUCGAAGAUGUGUGGACCUGCCCUCGUGUUCCUAACCAGGCUCCAAGGAACCAGCCAGCUCGGAUUCAGCCUUCAUUCCCCUGUCAAAGCGGAAGCUGAUUGGAGCCUCCAGGGUCAGGAAUGGGUUUCUCCAAGGAGAAAUGUUGUUUCCAAAGUCCUUGGUGAAGGGCCCUAGGUUGGAGGAGGGGACAGUGGCAGGUUCCAGACUGACCUUACUUGCUGUAUGUUUGGUGGUGUCUACUUCUGCUUCCUACCCCACAAAAGUAUGCUGAAGCUUAUGCUCCCUGUCUCAGUAUAAGAUAGCACCCCAGGAAUUGAGCUACUCUAGGGAUGCUGGGCUGGGGGCCACGACUGCUGACCCGCCUCCUAGGAGGGACAGAGACCCAGCAGGGUCCUGUCCGUGGGGUCAGGGUCUUAGUCUCCUUCCCAACACCUAUGACUAUGGAAGCCCGCUAGCCCUUCUUCCUGAAUGGUAGACAAGAGGGUAGGUUAAGCGACUUCUGGAGUUGAUCCCAAGUCAGAGCUGCCAGUCUGUGGGCCAGGACACCCGGGGAUGGUGAACCACCUGACAAUUAACGGUGCAGGGAGCUUAUUACCCUAAUGACUGGGUUGGAGGGUCUCUACUGAUGUUCACCUUCCUCAAGGCUUAACAGAGACCAGGAAAAAAAAAAAAAAAAAGGCAUUUGGGAACCAUUAUACUCCCAAAGUGCAGGUUUCCGGGGCCCAGACCUGAGGGGGCUGUCCAGGAAGUGGAGGUGGUUUCAGGAGAGGAGACUGUUGAGUUAAUGGACUUUGCUGUCUGUGUUGAAACAACCACCAAGGUGCAGGCUGAAGAGGCUGAGCUGAGACUGGGGAUGAGGGGCAGGAGGCCCCCAGUCUCCUCUGUCUGGGGCGCCAUCCAUCCCCCGAAGGAUUUCUCUGCCCCCACCUACGUUUGUUCCUUGAGCUAGGC